AUGCUUAGAUAUGACACAGAACACCAAUUGCGAAGGCAGCUCACAAAACUGUAACUGACACUGAGGCACGAAAGCGUGGGGAGCAAACAGGAUUAGAUACCCUGGUAGUCCACGCUGUAAACGUUGAUUACUAGAUGUAUGCGAGUUAUCGUAUGUGUCAAAGCGAAAGCGUUAAGUAAUCCACCUGGGGAGUACGACCGCAAGGUUGAAACUCAAAGGAAUUGACGGGGGCCCGCACAAGCGGAGGAGCAUGUGGUUUAAUUCGAUGGUACGCGAGGAACCUUACCUGGGCUUGAAAGUUAGUGACCGCUCCUGAAAGGGAGCUUUCCGAAAGGACACGAAACUAGGUGCUGCAUGGCUGUCGUCAGUUCGUGCCGUGAGGUGUUGGGUUAAGUCCUGUAACGAGCGCAACCCCUACCAUUAGUUGCCAGCGGGUAAUGCCGGGGACUCUAGUGGAACUGCCUGCGUAAGCAGAGAGGAAGGUGGGGACGACGUCAAGUCAUCACGGCCCUUACGUCCAGGGCUACACACGUGCUACAAUGGCCGAUACAAAGGGUCGCUACUUGGUAACAAGAUGCUAAUCUCUAAAGUCGGCCUCAGUUCGGAUUGAGGUCUGCAAUUCGACCUCAUGAAGUUGGAUUCGCUAGUAAUCGUGUAUCAGCAAUGUCACGGUGAAUACGUUCCCGGGCCUUGUACACACCGCCCGUCAAGCCAUGGAAGUUGGGAGUACCUGAAAUCAAUUGCCGUAAGGCGUCGCCUAAGGUAAAAUCGAUGACUGGGGCUAAGUCGUAACAAGGUAACC
rnacentral:rRNA from 1 species